rnacentral:rRNA from 1 species
UACGUAGGGGGCAAGCGUUGUCCGGAAUUAUUGGGCGUAAAGAGCGCGUAGGCGGUCCGGUAAGUCGGUUGUGAAAGUCGGGGGCUCAACCCUCGGAUGCCGAUCGAUACUGUCGGGCUAGAGUCCGGAAGAGGCGAGUGGAAUUCCUGGUGUAGCGGUGAAAUGCGCAGAUAUCAGGAGGAACACCCAUGGCGAAGGCAGCUCGCUGGGACGGUACUGACGCUGAGGCGCGAAAGCGUGGGGAGCAAACAGG